rnacentral:rRNA from 1 species
GAUGAACGCUGGCGGCGUGCCUAAUACAUGCAAGUCGAGCGAACAGAUGAGGAGCUUGCUCCUCUGACGUUAGCGGCGGACGGGUGAGUAACACGUGGAUAACCUACCUAUAAGACUGGGAUAACUUCGGGAAACCGGAGCUAAUACCGGAUAAUAUAUUGAACCGCAUGGUUCAAUAGUGAAAGACGGUUUUGCUGUCACUUAUAGAUGGAUCCGCGCCGCAUUAGCUAGUUGGUAAGGUAACGGCUUACCAAGGCGACGAUGCGUAGCCGACCUGAGAGGGUGAUCGGCCACACUGGAACUGAGACACGGUCCAGACUCCUACGGGAGGCAGCAGUAGGGAAUCUUCCGCAAUGGGCGAAAGCCUGACGGAGCAACGCCGCGUGAGUGAUGAAGGUCUUCGGAUCGUAAAACUCUGUUAUUAGGGAUGAACAAAUGUGUAAGUAACUAUGCACGUCUUGACGGUACCUAAUUAGAAAGCCACGGCUAACUACGUG